rnacentral:rRNA from 1 species
UACGUGGGUGACAAGCGUUAUCCGGAAUUACUGGGCGUAAAGCGCACGCAGGCGGCGCAUUAAGUCUGAUGUGAAAUCUCCCGGCUUAACUGGGAGGGGUCAUUGGAAACUGAUGUGCUCGAGGCGGUGAGAGGGGUGUAGAAUUCCCGGUGUAGUGGUGGAAUGCGUAGAUAUCUGGAGGAAUACCGGUGGCGAAGGCGGCAUCCUGGACCGACAUUGACGCUGAACGGCGAAAGCUAGGGGAGCAAACGGG